GUGGGUAAUCUACCCUCGGGUGGGGAAUAACUUCCCGAAAGGGGAGCUAAUGCCGACAUGUGCAACAUUUUCGCAAGGGAGUGUUGGAAAGCCGUAUCGUGGAUACGGCGCCCAAGGAUGAGCUCAUGUCCUAUCAGCUUGUUGGCGGGGUAACGGCCCACCAAGGCUGCGACGGGUAGCUGGUCUGAGAGGACGACCAGCCACACUGGCACUGCGACACGGGCCAG
rnacentral:rRNA from 1 species